rnacentral:misc_RNA from 1 species
CUCCCGUGUUCACAGAAAAUUGACUCAUGUUUUAAUCAUUUAUAUCCUUCUAUUGAAAAUGAAUAGUUGAGAUUUUUAUAAAAAUUAAAAACACACAAAAUAACAAUUGCCCAAUGCCAUGACGCAGGGUAAAGCUUCAGGCUCUGUGAAAUGGAUAACCUUACAGAUUGACUGACAGCCUUUGCCAUGUACUUAGAAUCCAUUAGGCACCAUUACGGCAAAUUCAGUUGGAAAAGCAAUGAAAAUUUUACAGUGAUACACAAUGAAUUGCUGUGAUAGUCUAUUGCAAGUUUCAACUGAUACAGCUGACAAUGCUUUAACAAAAUGCUUCCUCAUACAUCAUGCCUUGAAUUCUGAUGUGCUGGUAGAUCUGACUGCCAUUGUUGUGAAUUCUGCCGUGAUGGUAUAUCUGACACUUGGUCAAGUUGCUGCCGAAGAUGCAUAUCUUCAUCCUGAUUGUCUACUUCUGUGCUACUAGAUGGUUUAGCACCAGAAGUAAUUACGUUUUUAAACCAAGUUGCUUGAAAUCUAGGGCUUCCUCUACUUGAAUUGCCAGGUGAAUCAGGGGCAGGCCCAUUAUUGGAAGCGACACCUACGAGGAAACGAUAUGCCACUUUGCUAGCUGAUACAAUCUCUGCCUUGGCUUGUCUAAACUGCAAUAUACCCGCUCACACAUCAGAAGAAAAGAUGAUCACACUGAAUAAUAUCAAAAGCCUGAUAAGGAUUCAGUCAUAAAAAAAUUAAACUUCUGUCAUCACAUGCCAUAUAUCUAAUCUAACAAUCCACAUUUCAGGCCAAUUUGAGAUGGCACUAAUGAGGCAUGGCAGGUUAAAAUUCAAAAGAAGCACACCAAAGGAGAAACAAAUUAAUGCACCCACCAUAUGCAAGCUCAAACAGAGAACAAUAAGUGAAUUUCAGAUUGCAUGUAUAGUUUCUGUGAUUAUAGGAAGAAGUUACACUGUGUGUUUGAUAACCAUAAGUCUAAUUUAUAUCUUCAGAGAUUUCCAAGGAAAAAAUUACUAAAUAAUUAAAAGAAAAGCUAAAAGUAGAACACAUCAAGAUAGUAUUGUAUGCUAGACAAAUCGCAUUAAGGUAACCAGCUACUCGACCCAGUUUGGCUUUGAGAUGCACAAAUUCAAGGGCAUCAAAUCGCAGCUUCACCAAGAAACUUAUUUGUCCAACUUUUGUGCACAAUUGCUGUUUUGAUGUCUAGGAUUUUAAGCACAGCUGGUGCACAGCAAUGCCAAACUAGCACAAUUAUGCUACAUUACAUUAUGGUCAACCUAACAUAGCCUUAGUGUCUUUGAAUGUAUAAAAGCAAAUUGGGUUUCUACGUUUCCAGAAGUUCACCAAGCUAACAUGUGAAAGAAACUAUUUACUUGUUCCUCAAUAGCAUAAACGGGGUAUAUAACAAGACGAUGCUGGCCAAAUACACGAAUAAGAAAUUGCACAUCAUCUCACCCGUAAUGCUGUAUUUCCCGCAACUUCCAAGGCUGCAUCACCAGCAUUUGCAAAACGAUUAACCCAACCUGGAAGUUUUGGCACACCAAGCCUUUCACAGAAUUCAUCACAGAAGUGAUUGCAGUUCUUGGAUAGCAAGUCAUAUGAACUUCCAGGCCAUUCUCUACUCAGUUCCCGCAAUAUCUGAUUCACCUUAAAGAUAGAAAAGUUAGUUCUUCCUAGUACAAUGCUCUCACGAUAUGUAUACAUUGGGUUCUUUCCAGAAGGGCAACUAAAAACUCCAGUUCCAUGUUCGCAAAACCCAAAAGACCAUUCAUCAUCUCCAUACACCUGUCACAUACAGUUCAGACAAAUUUAUCGAAGGCUAAAUGCAACAUAACUUGAUGAUAAAAGAAUUUUGAAAGAACAAAUUGAGAACGAGAAAAAAAAACAUUAUGAAUUACCAAGAGAAAGUAAAAGGGGAUAAUGUAGUGAAACAUAGAGGCCCUGUGUACAUGUAAUGUUAGGGCAUGCAAGUUAAAACAAGUAUAGAUGAAUGCGACAAAGAGAAGUCCAAGCAACAUUUUAUCAAGCGAUAUGCCACAUCAGCAAACAAGAUGUCCAUAUGUUCAAAUCAAACAUAACUCAAGGUUCCACACCUUAAAACACCAGCAGGUCUGACCAAUGUCCAUUAAAAAUAUUUACCCCCAGUCCAGAAAAAGAAAUGGAUUUCCACUGCAAUGGCUUCACCAGAUACUUGAAAAUUGAAACCAGAAAGCCAUUUGGUUGAAGGACAAACAAUUCAGCAAAGCAGGUCAGAAAGAGAGUAGCAAAAGACAUUACUUAAGAAAUAAUGUUGCAAGAUUGACACUAAGCUGAAGUUUUAUAUAAUUUUCUGAGAAAUACAUAGCUGUACCUUAAAAUGCUAAGUCAGUGACAGCUUGUUCAUGUAAAAUGAAAGCAUGAACACAAUAUAGAUGACAAUUGAACUAUAACAAGUGCAAAAAGUACAGAUGUACUAUACAAGGAAAAACAAGAAAAGGUAAUAAGCAAGACUCACUGUUACUGCUACAAUCAAAAACCAAUUAUAUAGGAACAGGGAGAGAAUAGUGAAACCUUCUCUUUUUAAAGAAGUUUGAGAGUUUCACACCCUUAGCAUCUUCGCCAAAAAGGAAAGCAGUAGCAUACCAAAACAAAACAAAGUAACAAGCAUAAAACCAGAAGUCAAACAUUUGAAAAAAUUCAGUUGGCGAUUCCAUGGUCUGCAAGUUUCUUAUGCAAAAGAAACGCUCUAGUUCUUGAAGAUAUAUCUAUAAUACCUACUCAAAAUUUAUCAGGCACAUAGUUCUCCAAUAAAACCCAUCGAAUACACACUAGCUCUUACAAAGUUUCCACCUAUGGGCCCGGUACUGUUCCUCUUAAUUGACAAUAAGGAUUACAUAUGACUGCGAGAAUUUAAUGAAUAACGACUCGUACGAACACAAACCAAAACCUCAGAUCUCACCUGCAGCAGAAGAAUAUUCCAUAACUAAUACAAUCAAAUCAACACAAGCAUGUCCCCGCAUAAAAACUCGUUUCUCCAGAAUCAUAUCAGUUAAUUAAAUAAAAAACCCUAGAUCCCAUCCACAGUGACUCCAUUGCAUAGGUACAUCAACAAAUCAACACAUAUAGAGAGAGAAAGAGCGACAGAGAGAAGAGAAAGAACCUGCACAGCGCUGUGGAAGAUGCCACCAAAGCCAAUACCGUCCUUGAAAAUCUUGUUGAUCUGCAUAAUGGUGUUGUUGGUCUUCUCCGAUCCACUAUUCGUCACAUCGUAUAUAUGCAAUAUCACAUCCGUCAUCUUUAUCAACAAAGCUCUAACCCUAACCCUAACUUCAAACUUCCUAUCCCCUCUCUCUCGGCCCUCUUUAUAAUAUCCGAUUCACACAGAAACUUGUCACAGUCUUUCCUCUUUCUGUCUCCUUCGCUUUUAAAUCUCUCCCUCUCCUCCCUCUCUCUCUCCGUUCAAUUAGAGGAACAGAGAAUUUCCACAUUCAAUUUUCGCUCUCACUGAGAUUUAAUUUGAAUACGACACUUUUUCUGUUUUUGCCUGGAAGUGAAUAUUCAGAGUUCGUAGAUAUUCUCUUUUUCCUCGAGUCGGUGGCUUUGUUU